rnacentral:rRNA from 1 species
UCGAACGGAAAGGUCUCUUCGGAGACACUCGAGUGGCGAACGGGUGAGUAACACGUGGGCAAUCUGCCCUGCACACCGGGAUAAGCCUGGGAAACUGGGUCUAAUACCGGAUAGGACCACUUGGCGCAUGCCUUGUGGUGGAAAGCUUUUGCGGUGUGGGAUGGGCCCGCGGCCUAUCAGCUUGUUGGUGGGGUGACGGCCUACCAAGGCGACGACGGGUAGCCGGCCUGAGAGGGUGUCCGGCCACACUGGGACUGAGAUACGGCCCAGACUCCUACGGGAGGCAGCAGUGGGGAAUAUUGCACAAUGGGCGCAAGCCUGAUGCAGCGACGCCGCGUGGGGGAUGACGGCCUUCGGGUUGUAAACCUCUUUCACCAUCGACGAAGGUCCGGGUUCUCUCGGAUUGACGGUAGGUGGAGAAGAAGCACCGGCCAACUACGUGCCAGCAGCCGCGGUAAUACGUAGGGUGCGAGCGUUGUCCGGAAUUACUGGGCGUAAAGAGCUCGUAGGUGGUUUGUCGCGUUGUUCGUGAAAUCUCACGGCUUAACUGUGAGCGUGCGGGCGAUACGGGCAGACUAGAGUACUGCAGGGGAGAGUGGAAUUCCUGGUGUAGCGGUGGAAUGCGCAGAUAUCAGGAGGAACACCGGUGGCGAAGGCGGGUCUCUGGGCAGUAACUGACGCUGAGGAGCGAAAGCGUGGGGAGCGAACAGGAUUAGAUACCCUGGUAGUCCACGCCGUAACGGUGGGUACUAGGUGUGGGUUUCCUUCCUUGGGAUCCGUGCCGUAGCUGACGCAUUAAGUACCCCGCCUGGGGAGUACGGCCGCAAGGCUAAAACUCAAAGGAUUGACGGGGGCCCGCACAAGCGGCGGAGCAUGUGGAUUAAUUCGAUGCAACGCGAGAACCUUACCUGGGUUUGACAUGCACAGGACGCGUCUAGAGAUAGCGUCCUUGUCGCGCGUGUGUGUGCCAUUACG